UGAUGUGAGGGCGAUCUGGCUGAGACAUCUGUCACCCCAUUGAUGGCCAGGGUUGAUUUUAUCCGACUGAUCUGGCUGGCUAGGCAGGUGUCCCCCUCCUCCCUUACGGAUCCAUGUGUGUCCUUCCCGAAGCUGCGAAGUUGCACUCUGGGACAAAGAGGACCUUCCCUCAGAGGAGAGGACCAGUCUUCGGUCAAAGAUAUACAAGUAGCUGCACUCCCCUACUAGAACCUCCAAACAAAUUCACAAAAUAAGAAUGUCUACGGGAGAUCAGUUGGUUUAGAAACCCUGAACUGAGAAGAAAAAUUGCAAAAACUAACUUU
ensembl:misc_RNA 7SK 7SK RNA